rnacentral:rRNA from 1 species
GGGGAAUAUUGGACAAUGGGCGCAAGCCUGAUCCAGCAACGCCGCGUGAGUGACGAAGGCCUUCGGGUUGUAAAGCUCUUUAGCUAGGGAAGACAAUGACGGUACCUAGAAAAUAAGCACCGGCUAACUUCGUGCCAGCAGCCGCGGUAAUACGAAGGGUGCUAGCGUUGUUCGGAAUCACUGGGCGUAAAGCGUGCGUAGGUGGCUUGGCAAGCCAGGGGUGAAAUCCCGGAGCUUAACUCCGGAAUUGCCUUUGGAACUGCUUCGCUAGAGGAUGUUAGAGGUAAGUGGAAUUCCUAGUGUAGGAGUGAAAUCCGUAGAUAUUAGGAGGAACAUCGAUUGCGAAGGCAGCUUACUGGGAUAUUUCUGACACUGAGGCACGAAAGCGUGGGGAUCAAAC